GGUGAGGUUUUUCCAGUCCUUUAAACCUUAAAAGAGACACAACCCCAAAGAUACUAGAGUAAUUCUGUCCUCUUAGAGAAAUCUGUGGGGAGUCUUGUUGUUGUUCAGUCGGUCAGUCGUGUCCACUCUUUGUGACCCCAUGGACUGCAGCACUCCAGGUUUUCCCAUCCUUCAACAUUGCCUGGGGUUUACUCAAACUCAUGUUGAUUGAGUUGAUAAUGCCAUGCAAUCAGCUCAUCUUCUGUCAUCCCCUUCUACAUGCCCUUUUCUCACACCCUCGAGUUUCUUUGUAGGUACACAAAGAUUUCUAGGUUCUUGGGAAUUUAGAUAUGAAGUCUAAUGCAUCUCUGAUUGACAUCAAGGAGCAGGACACAGGAAAGGCGUUAGUUGUUACAUAUUUCCUGUCAUUGGUGUUUGCCACCAACAAGAUUUGCUAUUUAGGAUUUUCAAAAACUAGCUUGAACAAUAGGAAUGUGGUAGAUGUUCACAACAAUCUGUGGCCAGUUGUGUAUAAAUACAUUGCUAUUGUUGUUUAGUCACUAAGUUGUGUCCAACUCUUUGGGACACCAUGGACUGUAACCCACCAGCCUCCUCUGCUCAUGGGAUUUUCCAGACAAGAAUCCUGGGGUGGUUUGCCAUUUUCUUCUCCAGGUGAUCUUCCUGACUUAGGGAUCAAACCAGUGUAUCUUGCAUUGGCAGGUGGAUUCUUUACCACUGAGCCACCAGGAAAGCUCUAUGUAUGAAUAAGAUUUGGCCAAAUGUAUGCUAAAGACAGAGAAGAGAAGGGAGAGUCCAGUAUUUUAAACUCAAGUGCUUGUGAGGCAAGGAACUCUAAAGAAUCUUCUGGGAGAGAAUAUUAGCGAGAAUUUAAAAUAUUAUAGCAAACACUUAUUGAGGCAUACUAUAGGCCAGAGAUUGAACUAGUCACUUCAUAUAUUAACUGUUCUGAGUCUAUAUAUGUGUGUGCUUCAGCACACAUACUGUUUUCUUUGCUCCAUAUAUCAAGUAUUAAUAGCCUGGAAAUAGCACAAAUGAGCAAAUGAUAAAAUGUAAUUUCCUUAUAUAUACUUCCAUGUGUAAGUGACUUCAUAGCAGUGUAAUAUGCUAGCCUACUCUAAAUUACUGAGUUCCACAAGACAUCAUAGUGUGACCAAUCAAAAUUAUUUAUUAUUACUAAAUAAAUCUAUCUACUGCUUGUUAAACAGAAGCAGAGGCUAAUUAUAUAAUAAUGAGUAUAUAACCA
rnacentral:lncRNA from 1 species